UGGGGAAUUUUGGACAAUGGGCGCAAGCCUGAUCCAGCAAUGCCGCGUGCAGGAUGAAGGCCUUCGGGUUGUAAACUGCUUUUGUACGGAACGAAAAGCCUCUCUCUAAUACAGGGGGGUGAUGACGGUACCGUAAGAAUAAGCACCGGCUAACUACGUGCCAGCAGCCGCGGUAAUACGUAGGGUGCAAGCGUUAAUCGGAAUUACUGGGCGUAAAGCGUGCGCAGGCGGUUUUGUAAGACAGUGGUGAAAUCCCCGGGCUCAACCUGGGAACUGCCAUUGUGACUGCAAGGCUGGAGUGCGGCAGAGGGGGAUGGAAUUCCGCGUGUAGCAGUGAAAUGCGUAGAUAUGCGGAGGAACACCGAUGGCGAAGGCAAUCCCCUGGGCCUGCACUGACGCUCAUGCACGAAAGCGUGGGGAGCGAACAGGAUUAGAUACCCUGGUAGUCCACGCCCUAAAACGAUGUCAAACUGGUUGUUGGGGAUUUAUUUCUUCAGUAACGAAGCUAACGCGUGAAGUUGACCGCCUGGGGGAGUACGGCCGCAAGGUUAAAAACUUAAAAUGAAUUGACGGGGUCAUAGCUGUUUCCU
rnacentral:rRNA from 1 species